GCCUGGGAGGCUCAGUCGGUUGAGCAUCUGACUUCGGCUCAGGUUAUGAUCUCCAGAUCUGUGAGUUCGAGCCCCACGUCGGGCU
rnacentral:tRNA from 1 species